rnacentral:lncRNA from 1 species
UUAUUCAAUUCUUCAUUUUUAUGCCCCACCUACGAUAGUAGAGGGGCAUUAUGUUUUCUGGUCUGUGCGUCCGUUCGUUCGUUCGUCCGUCCGUCUGUUCGUUCGUUCGUUCGUUCGUCUGUUCGUUCGUCCGUCUGUCCCGCUUCAGGUUAAAGUUUUUGGUCAAGGUAGUUUUUGAUGAAGUUGAAGUCCAAUCAACUUGAAACUUAGUACACAUGUUCCUUAUGAUAUUAUCUUUCUAAUUUUAAAGCCAAAUUAAACUUUUGACCCCAAUUUCACGGUCCACUGAACAUAGAAAAUGAAAGUGCAUGUUUCAGGUUAAAGUUUUUGGUCAAGGUAGUUUUUGAUGAAGUUGAAGUCCAAUCAACUUGAAACUUAGUACACAUGUUCCUUAUGAUAUUAUCUUUCUAAUUUUAAAGCCAAAUUAAACUUUUGACCCCAAUUUCACGGACGGUCCACUGAACAUAGAAAAUGAAAGUGCAUGUUUCAGGUUAAAGUUUUUGGUCAAGGUAGUUUUUGAUGAAGUUGAAGUCCAAUCAACUUGAAACUUAGUACAAAUGUUCCCUAUGAUAUUAUCUUUCUAAUUUUAAUGCCUAAUUAUAUUUUUUAUCCAAUUUCACGGUCCAUUGAACAUGGAAAAUGAUAGUGGGAGUGGGGCAUCCGUGUACUUUGGACACAUUCUUGUUUUUUCUCUCUCUGUCUGUUAUGAAGUGAUAAUAUGGCAGCUACUUAAAUGUCGUGUUUAGAAGCCGAAGUUUACCGAUUGACACUUUAUAGUAAACAAUCAACAAUUAAACGUGGAUAUUGAGUACGUCGUGUUUAACAUGAACAAUCAGAUAAUAGUUUAUUUUAAGGACAGAUCCAUGCGUAUUGCGAUCACCGGAUUUUUACGAGUGGGUCACGCUGAGGUCACUUUGCAUACGGAAAAUAUAUCGGCGAUUGCUUCGUAUCCUGGAAAUUCAAAUAAAGAAAACUUCUUCUAAAUAUGAACAAAUUAAAGAAUUUUCUUCAGAAAAAAGUACAUGUACAUAAGUUUUAUAAUGAAAAC